UGGCUCAGGACGAACGCUGGCGGCGUGCCUAAUACAUGCAAGUCGAGCGAGUCUGCCUUGAAGAUCGGAGUGCUUGCACUCUGUGAAACAAGAUACAGGCUAGCGGCGGACGGGUGAGUAACACGUGGGUAACCUGCCCAAGAGAUCGGGAUAACACCUGGAAACAGAUGCAAACCGGAUAACAACAGAUGAUGCCUAUCAACUGUUUAAAAGAUGGUUCUGCUAUCACUCUUGGAUGGACCUGCGGUGCAUUAGCUAGUUGGUAGGGUAACGGCCUACCAAGGCGAUGAUGCAUAGCCGAGUUGAGAGACUGAUCGGCCACAUUGGGACUGAGACACGGCCCAAACUCCUACGGGAGGCAGCAGUAGGGAAUCUUCCACAAUGGACGCAAGUCUGAUGGAGCAACGCCGCGUGAGUGAAGAAGGGUUUCGGCUCGUAAGCUCUGUUGUUGGUGAAGAAGGACCAGGGGGUAGUACUGACCUUUGUUUGACGGUAAUCAAUUAGAAAGUCACGGCUAACUACGUGCCAGCAGCCGCGGUAAUACGUAGGUGGCAAGCGUUGUCCGGAUUCAUUGGGCGUAAAGCGAGUGCAGGCGGCUCGAUAAGUCUGAUGUGAAAGCCUUCGGCUCAACCGGAGAAUUGCAUCAGAAACUGUCGAGCUUGAGUACAGAAGAGGAGAGUGGAACUCCAUGUGUAGCGGUGAAAUGCGUAGAUAUAUGGAAGAACACCGGUGGCGAAGGCGGCUCUCUGGUCUGUUACUGACGCUGAGGCUCGAAAGCAUGGGUAGCGAACAGGAUUAGAUACCCUGGUAGUCCAUGCCGUAAACGAUGAGUGCUAAGUGUUGGGAGGUUUCCGCCUCUCAGUGCUGCAGCUAACGCAUUAAGCACUCCUUCCUGGGGAGUACGGCCGACAAGGUUGAAACUCAAAGGAAUUGACGG
rnacentral:rRNA from 1 species